GAGAUAUUAGUAAAAUAAUUACAUAACUUUGUCAAAGUUAAAUUACAGCCCAACACUGUAUAUCUCA